CAGCUCGGAAGGAGGCGUGGGCAUGGAGCCGGCUGGGGACGCGGAGCGGGGGGCUGGCGCCGCUGCCUAGGGCGCCCCGUGGGCUCCUUGGGGGCACGGCCCGGUGCUGCGCGGAUGGCCCUGCUCCCGCGGCCCGCGUUCGCCCUCGUCCUCCUCUUCCUGCCCGCCGCUCUCAGGUGCCAGGAGCAGGCCCAGACCACCGACUGGCGGGCCACCCUGAAGACCAUCCGGAACGGCGUUCACAAGAUAGACACGUACCUGAACGCCGCCUUAGACCUCCUGGGAGGCGAGGAUGGGCUCUGCCAGUAUAAGUGCAGUGACGGAUCUAAGCCCUUCCCACGUUAUGGUUAUAAACCCUCCCCGCCGAAUGGAUGUGGCUCUCCACUGUUUGGUGUUCAUCUUAAUGUUGGCAUCCCUUCCCUGACAAAGUGCUGCAACCAACAUGACAGGUGCUAUGAGACCUGUGGCAAAAGCAAGAACGACUGUGAUGAGGAAUUCCAGUACUGCCUCUCUAAGAUCUGCCGGGAUGUGCAGAAGACACUAGGACUAGCUCAGCAUGUUCAGGCCUGUGAAACCACAGUGGAGCUCUUGUUUGACAGUGUGAUACAUUUAGGCUGCAAACCGUACCUGGACAGCCAAGGAGCCGCAUGUAGGUGUCGCCACGAAGAAAAAAGUGAUCUUUAAAGACGAUGCUCACAGUUGGUGACAGCAGAUAAGGACAGAAGAAGAUAGCCUUUGACAAAGAACUACUGUUUUUACAGCAUAAUGCUGCCUUAUUUUUGUGAAAGGAUUAUUUUAAGACUUUAUUUUGACAUUAAAACUUCAAACUAAAGAAAAAAGUGGGGGAGGUGAUCUUCCUGGACGUUGCUGCCUUAGUGUACCGAAUUGUCUUGACCAACCUCAGAAAGAGGUGCAUGUUAAGGGGAGAAUAUUUUAAAAGGAGGAGUCUGUAACUCAGUUUUCACAACUGUAUUUACCAAAACAAUGAAGUCAAAUGUAAAACUGAUUACAAGGAUCCAAUCUAGGAUACCACAUUGCAUUUAGUCAUCAUGUCUGAUAAGCCUCUGGUCUGCGAUGGUUCCACAGGCUUGUUUUUCAAAAUCUUGACGGUUUUGAGGCAUACUGGUCAGGUGUAUUAUAGAAUGCCCCUCAGUUUGGGCUUGUCUGAUGUUUCCCCUCAGAAUUGGACUGCGGUUAUGGAUAUUUAAGGAAGAAAACCACAGAAGUGAUGAAGGGUUCUUCUCAGCAAAUUGUAUCAGUAGUUGAAUGUUAUCAACUUGAUAUGUUAACUCUGAAUACUUGGUUAAAGUAGUGUCUGUCAGGUUUCUCCACCGUGAAGUUACUGUUUUUCCGUUUCCAUACUUCUGUUCUUUGGGAGCCAGUCCCCAAGUCAGUCAGUCUGUGGGAGGUGGGGGUGCGCAAGACUCUGUUCCACCUCCUGGAAGGGGGAGUAUCUUUAUAUAGUACUUGGUAUUUUUCUGUAAGAAGGAUUUGUCUCCUCACCCCUCCCAUUUAGUCAAUUAUUUAUAUUAGUAUGGACUCAUGUAUAUUUCUUUUAGACUUUGGGUAAUGUUUAUUGCUCAAGUUGUUCCAGCUCGGCUAUUGGGAGUUAUGUCAGGUUGGCUCCUGUGCGUCUUUAAUGUGCCCCCAUCCUUUUGAUUUUUGAGCACUUCCAUACUUUCUGGCAAGAAAGUAGGAAUGUUGCUCUGGGCUUGCCUUGUGUAUUUCCAGCACUAGAAUCAGCCUCUUCUCCAAAGAGCACUGGUUCCUGUUAUUGGAGAAUGGUUUCUAGUGGAACUUAGAAACCAGUAUCUGGGUGCUGGAUGUGCUUGUUGCUCUUGGGGUGUCACUGCUGCUAGACCCUCCCAGCAAACAGAGCUAGGAAAUACGUAUGUAUGUUAACCCUUGUACAAUCUAUAAUGAUUUCUGUAUGUGUGUGUGUGUGUGUAUAUAUAUAUAUAUAUAUAUAGCUGAGCAUGAGUUCUUACUGAUAUCUUCACUUGAAUCAUGUACCACAGGACAUGUAUUUAGAUUUUGAGAAUGGUAUUUUCCCUAUCCGUAGAAUAAAUUCAUUAAAAAAAACAAGCAAAAAGAAAACCCCAAAACUAGCUUUCAGCAGCUCUCUGCAAGAAAUACAAUACUAGUAUUUUUAAAUAAAACUAUAUUGCCUUCAAA